rnacentral:rRNA from 1 species
AACGAACGCUGGCGGCAUGCCUAACACAUGCAAGUCGAACGAACCCUUCGGGGUUAGUGGCGCACGGGUGCGUAACGCGUGGGAAUCUGCCCUUGGGUUCGGAAUAACAGUUAGAAAUGACUGCUAAUACCGGAUGAUGUCUUCGGACCAAAGAUUUAUCGCCCAGGGAUGAGCCCGCGUAGGAUUAGGUAGUUGGUGGGGUAAAGGCCUACCAAGCCGACGAUCCUUAGCUGGUCUGAGAGGAUGAUCAGCCACACUGGGACUGAGACACGGCCCAGACUCCUACGGGAGGCAGCAGUGGGGAAUAUUGGACAAUGGGCGCAAGCCUGAUCCAGCAAUGCCGCGUGAGUGAUGAAGGCCUUCGGUCGUAAAGCUCUUUUACCCGGACUGAUAAUGACAGUACCGGGAGGAAUAAAG